GAUUUGGAGGAUAAUCAGUUAACUGGUCGCAUACCAUCCACUCUCGGCAAUCUCAAGAAUCUUCAGUUCUUGACCCUGAGUAGGAAUAAUUUAAACGGGACUAUCCCGAAUUCACUUACGGGACUAUCAAAACUGAUAAAUAUUCUGCUCGAC